rnacentral:rRNA from 1 species
UACGUAGGUGGCAAGCGUUAUCCGGAAUUAUUGGGCGUAAAGCGCGCGCAGGUGGUUUCUUAAGUCUGAUGUGAAAGCCCACGGCUCAACCGUGGAGGGUCAUUGGAAACUGGGAGACUUGAGUGCAGAAGAGGAAAGUGGAAUUCCAUGUGUAGCGGUGAAAUGCGUAGAGAUAUGGAGGAACACCAGUGGCGAAGGCGACUUUCUGGUCUGUAACUGACACUGAGGCGCGAAAGCGUGGGGAGCAAACAG